CCCUUAGAUGUUCUGGGCCGCACGCGCGCUACACUGACGAAUGCAACGAGCUUAUAACCUUGGCCGAAAGGUCUGGGUAAUCUCCAAAUUUCGUCGUGAUGGGGAUAGAUUAUUGCAAUUAUUAAUCUUCAACGAGGAAUUCCUAGUAAUGGCGAAUCAUCAGUUCGUCGUGAUUACGUCCCUGCCCUUUGUACACACCGCCCGUCGCUCCUACCGAUAGAGCAGUCCGGUGAAUACUUCGGACCGACAGCUUGAUUGGUUCGCCAGUCUUGCCGUUGGAAAGUCGAGUGAACCUUAUUGCUUAGAGGAAGGAGAAGUCGUAACA
rnacentral:rRNA from 1 species